UACAGAGGUCCCAAGCGUUGUUCGGAUUCACUGGGCGUAAAGGGUGCGUAGGCGGUCGGGUACGUCUGACGUGAAAUCUCCAAGCCUAACUUGGAAACUGCGUUGGAUACUAUCCGGCUCGAGGAAUGGAGGGGAGACUGGAAUACUUGGUGUAGCAGUGAAAUGCGUAGAUAUCAAGUGGAACACCAGUGGCGAAGGCGAGUCGCUGGACAUUUCCUGACGCUGAGGCACGAAAGCCAGGGGAGCAAACGGG
rnacentral:rRNA from 1 species